rnacentral:misc_RNA from 1 species
AAGAAGGGGAGGCUGAAACCUAUAUAUCUGAGAUUGAGACGAUUGGUCAAGCCUAUGAAGACAUGCAGACGCAGAAUCAACAUCUUCUUCAGCAGAUGGCAGAGCGGGAUGAUUAUAAUAUAAAGUUAGUUUCUGAGAGCGUGAAGAUAAAGCAGGAACAAAGCUCACUUCUCUCACGGAAGCAGGUAUCAACAGCACAACUUCAACAGUCUAAAACAUCACUUGAAUCUCUGAAAAUGAGGAUAACUCAAAGUGAAGACCAGAUGAAAGUUCACAUUACGGAAGCUUUAAGUUAUACCCAAGAAGAUAGACAUCUUGCACUCCUCCUGGAAACUACAAAGAGGGAAUCGGGAGAUGCGGAAAAGGAAUUGAAGUGGCUGAG